ensembl:lncRNA
AUGGUGGCCUGUAUCUCCUUCCUGGAGCAUAGGCCAUCGACUACUGCCCUCCACCGUUGUCUGUUCUGUGCUACCAUCACAAGCUGCCCCCAUCCCAUUCCUGUCAGCUUGACUUCUGCAUCCAGAUCUCGGCGCCGGGUGUUCUGUGGCUGUCCCCCUUUUCUUUCUCCUUGCGGGUUCCAUGUCAGAGACUGUCUUGUGAUGUUGAAUCAUGGUUUUCUCAAGGUGUGGCCAAGCCAUCCCCAUUUCCUUCUCAGGAUCUCUUGUUCCAAAGGACGUUCCAACAUCCUCACUGCUGCUAAUAGAGUGCUGAGUAACUUCCCUGACAACUUAAUAAAUUACAAUAAAAUACAAGAUGUCUAUAAGAGAGCAGCUAUAUCUGCUGAUUGCUAAGGGGUGUGCUAACCAGUGGAUUCAGAGCAAAAUAUGCCUGAGAACAGACAAUUAUUUUAUUCUCCAUGUUAGAAUUUGGCUUUGAUUUCCCAGUUGUAAUCAUAAAUUGUAAAAUGGAUCCAGGAACAAGUUCUCUUAGGUUGAUAUGAUCCCAAAGUGCCCACUGACUCUCCUGUGGCGAUGUAAAACUGUGUUGCUUUCAUUUAAAUUAGAGCCACUCAUGGUCCCACCUCCACAGGUCAUGGUUGCCUGGCUAAAUAACACUGCUGUUUAAUUUCCCUUACAUAAUAUGAGUGUCCAUAUUAAUUAAGACUUAAGUUGUUUAAAGUUUUUAAGGACUUUGAGAAAGCUUCUAUUCUUUAAAAAAAGGGGGGGGGGGCACUUACAGCAAGACUGAGCAUUCAGGUAUUAGACACAGGCUCAGUUUGAAAAUUUGGCCCAAAAAUGCAUACAUAUUCACUUGAAGUGGUCUUUUCAGCUGAUAUUUUGAACAAUGUUUGUAACCAAACUAUUGACAAUAGCCACUAACUUGUGAAACAGGCGUGAGUCUUGUCGAGGUUUUUUUUUUGGGAAGCUUGGUAAUUUCACAUUAGGCAUACACACAGGUUCGAAGACUCGUUCUCGCCCCCUACAGUGCAAUUCGUCUAGGUAUACGUCCGCGCUAAACUAUCACGGUGAAAGUCAUCAUAGCUUGCGUAGUAUAGACCCAGCUCCCAACCCAACUUUGAGAAUAGAUUAACGGAUUAAUUAGGAUAUCCCUGAGUGUCUCCAAAUGAAGGUUUAGUCAGAUUUAAUUAACUUUUUGUUAACACAUUCUCUUUUUGUUGUCAUUAAAACAAGUUGUUUUAUGCAUCUAAUUCGCUAUGCAUUCUGGGAUUAGUAAUUCGUCAAAAUGAUGGCAUAUAUAGGAUAAGCUGUUUAAUUUCAUCAUGAGCUAUACUGAAAUCCACACACUUUAUCAACAGAAGUCAUUGCAGUUACAUGUCACAGGGGGCAGCAUGGAGCGAAGCAGACGGCUUGGGCCUUGAUCACACUGGGCAGCUGAAUGAGGAAGCCUGGCGUGGGAAGAAAUGGUUUUAUUAUGCUCUGAAAUAGCCACACUCACAGCAUAUGGAUUUGAGAUUAAUAUCUCUUUCCCAUGAAUGCCCACAGAGAACAAAGUAAAACCAGAUUUAACACAAAACAACAUCUUGUUCAUGUGGUAGGGAGUUUUCUGACAGUGAUUGAGGUCUGCUGUAUCUCCGAAUGAUUAGAUCUGAUGUAAAAUGUGUCUUUUCUUAGUGCUGGUUUCGUUAAUUGAUUUUCUUUUGUUUGAUGUCUUGGAGCAUAAACAAAUGCCAGUGGGACCAAAAUUAGGCCAUUACAUCUAAAAAGGAAAAUAUAAUCUGCAACAUCUAAUAAAAUAAAUAAAUAAAUAAAUAAAUAAAUAAAUAAAGCUUCUCAUGGGGAGUGCAAGUCAAUGGUAAUGCAACAUCAAACAACUCUGAACAAUAACAAUGUUUUCAUAUGGUUCUUUCAGCUCAUAUGCAGGCAGACCGAAUCUGCAGAUUUUGUUCAGUAAUUUUAUUCAUUUUGUUCAGUAAUUUUGUGCUGUGCAGAAUGGAUUUAAAUAUGGUUAAAUAUGACUGAACUGAAAGUAGUACACUCUUAUUGGCAGGUGAAAGCAUUAUCAAAUUAGCCAAAAUAUGUAAUUAAAUUAACAACCAAAAAAAGGUCUGAGAUAUAGAAAUCAUAAACAUAAACCUACAAUAAAAUUAGCAGAAUGAAUGGCUUUGUGUCAGUGAUCACAAAUAUUACCUUCCACAAAAAAUUUGGUCCCAGUGAGUCACAAAAGAUUGUCUGCAAGCAUUUGGUGUGAAUCAGUGUUGUUUUUGUGAAACUGACUUGUUGUUUAGGCAUCUUAUAUACCCUCAUUGAACCACUGUUAACCACCAUAUCAUUACAAAUUUGGUUAAGAAAAUGUAAUUAGUUCUAAGAGAAAGCAGAUUCAAAUCAAAAAGUGUUCCGAUGAACUUCUCCCAAACCUUAAUGAAAAUCAGUAAACCAUUCUUCCUCUC